UACGGAGGGGGCUAGCGUUGUUCGGAAUUACUGGGCGUAAAGCGCGCGUAGGCGGCUUUGUAAGUUAGAGGUGAAAGCCCGGAGCUCAACUCCGGAACUGCCUUUAAGACUGCAUCGCUAGAAUCAUGGAGAGGUGAGUGGAAUUCCGAGUGUAGAGGUGAAAUUCGUAGAUAUUCGGAAGAACACCAGUGGCGAAGGCGACUCACUGGACAUGUAUUGACGCUGAUGUGCGAAAGCGUGGGAAGCAAACAGG
rnacentral:rRNA from 1 species